CUAAAUAUAUAUAGUGAAGCUGCUGAUGAAGCUGUUCGAAAUGGUUCCCAACUGCUUGUUCUGUCAGACCGUUCUGAUGUGCUGGAACCAACUCGUCCGGCAGUUCCAAUACUUCUGGCUGUUGGUGCGGUUCAUCAGCAUCUUAUUCAGAAUGGAUUGUGAAUGUCAGCUUCUAUUGUUGCAGAGACUGCACAAUGCUUCAGCACUCAUCAGUUUGCCUGUUUGGUUGGAUUUGGUGCAAGUGCCAUAUGUCCAUACUUGGCACUAGAAACAUGCCGACAGUGGCGUCUGAGUAAUAAAACCGUAAACAAUUAUGAGGAAUGGAAAGAUGCCUACUGUAACAAUUGAGCAGGCUCAAAAGAACUUUUGCAAGGCUGUUAAAUCCGGUCUUCUCAAAAUUCUUUCCAAAAUGGGAAUCUCAUUGCUUUCUAGGCUUAAGCAAGGGAGAAAGCUGAAAAAGAGGGAUUUGAAGUAAGCAAUCCCAAGACCCAAAAUUUGGUGGCUAACACAAAGGCCCUAGCAGAAAAUGAAGGGGAGGGACUUGCCAAGCACAGUUGAAGAGUUGGUGGAAGUGGGUCCUGAACAGUUAAAGGAGUAAAAGAUAUAAGGUGUUAGCAAAUAGCUUUCAAUGAAGGGAUGAUAUCCUCCUCCAUUAACUGAGGCAGUGGCUUGGCCGCAGCUUUUGCUGGAGGUUUGGCCUUUGCUGGAGCUUCUUCUUGAGCUGUCUUCACCUCCUUUGUGGGUCUUUGGGUACUUAAUAUACCGACUAAGAUGAAUGAGCUGUUGGUGCCAUAUUGUCAGCAACUGAUUCAGUUUGCACGCUGCAGGGACAAGGAGCUUGUCAUUUCCUUCAAUGGGAGGAUACUCAAGAAAUUACCACAAUUAAUGAUCUUGUAGAUGAAAGCAAACAUGGCAUAUCUGUAGAUUCUACUUCAACAAGCCAUGAGUUAGUCACUAAAAUGGGUGAUUUGAGUACUAAUAAUUGAAAGAGGAAGUUUGAUUCACUAGAGAUGGAAAAUCCUCAACAUCUCCCAACUUCUGUGGCUGUACAUGAACAUUUUG